AAGCAUGAUUGGGGCAUUCUUCUAGUAAACCCUUGAACCACCUGUAAGUGUCACGAAGAUAUUCUCCUUCUUUCUAUUUGUAACAGGAAAUCUCUUGCCUUUUUCU
rfam:Cicer arietinum chromosome Ca4, whole genome shotgun sequence.